AAACUGAGGAAAGAAGGGAUGGAUAAAACAAACUGCUGACUUCCCAGUUUUGCUGAGUCCAGUCUGCCAAGCAAAAUAGGGGGCCAGGUGCAGUGGCUCAUCUUCCCAAAGUGUUGGGAUUACAGGCAUGAGCCACUGCACCCAGUCUGGGACACCUGUUUUAAGGGUGCAGGCCACUAGCUAAGCAAUGAGCAUGUCCUUAUCUCUGCAGCCUUUUGCUACCUCUUCCUUUGUGGUAUGUCCCCAUGUCACUCAGCCAUUAUCAACCUCAGCCACAGGUUCACAACAAUGUGUGGAAUCUCCUAUUGGCUUCUAAAAUAUUUGUCACUGAAAUGAGUAGAUGCCCAAACUAAACACAGAUUUCUGUUUCCAUGAUGUGCCCAUGAAAACUGAAAAUUUCAAGCCGGAAAUCAAAUGUUUACAAAUACAAAUAAAAUUCUGUAUUUGUUGUAUAUUUUA